rnacentral:rRNA from 1 species
CCUUUCCGUAGUGGGUGACCUGCGGAAGGAUCAUUGUCGAA